rnacentral:lncRNA from 1 species
GGAACUCAUCUGGAACGGACCGUCCGCACGGCGAUCACCGUGCGGACACCAGAUCGCCGUCCCACGGGAAUCGUCAUUGGAACCAUUCCGUGCCUGAAAUUGUCACCGGUCGCAGAGCACGGUCGCGGUCCUCGCACGGUGCAGAGCACGGUCCAUUCUACACCGGCUGUUCCAUUCUACACCGGCAGGUACCAGUAGUUGCGGUGAAAACGGCCAAAACCUUUGUAAAUCUCUAUUCUCCACCUUUCUCGCUUUCUUCUAUAUAUAUAGCCAGAGAAGAACCGGUUGUUACGGGAACCCAAACAAACACUUCAUUGUUGUUUCCGUCAUCCGUCCUCCCGAUCGAAUAACCAAAGAUCGUCGUCAUCCCCAUUUCUUCUGUCGUUGUCGAAACCUCGGAAUGAAAACUCGAAGCGACGGAAUCUUUCUCUGAUUGAUUUGGGUAUAACUACCCCAAACAUCCAUUUCAGGGUAAAAUGCCUCGGAAACAGAAACGUCAUCGCUAUCUUCUCUUCCCAUCCCUAACCCUGCUAUUUCUCCGACGAGGUUGUCUGAAUAAAUUAAGAUGGGUUCCGCGAGGGAUGUCAGUUCGCGAAGAUGGGUUCCGCGAGGGCAUCGAUUGGGCGUCGAUUGGGCACUGCGAAGGUGACUCUGUUUCCGGACAGGCCAUACUUGACUGACUCCACGAAUAUAUAUACCACGAUGGACGGUGGACGGAAGCCAUACUCUGUUUGGGAACGGUGGAUGCUGGUACUGCAAAAUCGUCGCGAACGACACUACCCGUUCCUGAAUUUUUCUCUAUUUAUUUAUUCUCUCCUUACAUCUCCAUGCACGUUUUUUCCAUUUCUCCAUUUUGCUUUUCAUCCAAAUAUCCAAUCCACCAUACAUAUUUUUUUCAAUAAUUUUAUUCUCUAUGUUUUCAUAAAUUUUAUCUCUUUCAUUUUCGCAUUUAAACAAGACUACAAUUAAGUUGUAAUACCUUUGGGUUUAGGUAUUUACCCAAAUGAGAUUAAUAUUCAGGUAUUCGUUGGAUUUGGAUUGUGUUUGGUUUUUAUUUUCAGAGAUUUAUUUAAAAUUUUAAAAACAAAAUAAAGAGGCCAAUUGCUA